GACGAACGCUGGCGGCGUGCUUAACACAUGCAAGUCGAACGGAAAGGCCCUGCUUUUGUGGGGUGCUCGAGUGGCGAACGGGUGAGUAACACGUGAGUAACCUGCCCUUGACUUUGGGAUAACUUCAGGAAACUGGGGCUAAUACCGGAUAGGAGCUCCUGCUGCAUGGUGGGGGUUGGAAAGUUUCGGCGGUUGGGGAUGGACUCGCGGCGUAUCAGCUUGUUGGUGGGGUAGUGGCUUACCAAGGCUUUGACGGGUAGCCGGCCUGAGAGGGUGACCGGCCACAUUGGGACUGAGAUACGGCCCAGACUCCUACGGGAGGCAGCAGUGGGGAAUAUUGCACGAUGGGCGGAAGCCUGAUGCAGCAACGCCGCGUGCGGGAUGACGGCCUUCGGGUUGUAAACCGCUUUCGCCUGUGACGAAGCGUGAGUGACGGUAAUGGGUAAAGAAGCACCGGCUAACUACGUG
rnacentral:rRNA from 1 species